AUCGAAUACUCAGGGAAGGCUGGUUGAACUAAGUUCAAGAACUCAACCAACGGUAAUUGAAGGAUAGUUAGGAGCUAUGACGACUGCAGCUCGACCCACAUGGGCACCUGCAAAAGGUGGUAAUGAACAAGGUGGUACUCGAAUUUUUGGUCCUUCUCAGAAGUACUCUUCCAGGGAUCUUGCCUCUCAUACGAACCUAAAGCCUAGAAAGGAAGGGCAAGACACACAGGAGGAAUUGCAGAAGAGGAAUCUUCGUGAGGAGCUGGAAGAUCGAGAAAGGAGGCAUUUUUCAUCGAAGGAUAAGUCUUAUAAUGAUGAUAGAGACCGUAGAAAGAGUAAUCAACUUCUCUUGGAAGGGACAAGGAGGGACGCCGAAGACCGCAUCGUUCCGCGUAGUGUGGAUGCUGAUGAUUCUGAUGUGGAAGUUAACAA
rnacentral:misc_RNA from 1 species